AAGACUAUACUCUUAGGGAUCAUUUCUAUAGUUUUUUCCUAGAGAAGUGGGUUCUUGAGUGUGUGGUUUCACCAACCAUGAGGAGGAUUAAUAGUGUUCUCUUCUGAGCAGGAAGUUGGCAGUGAGUGUUGCUUUUAGUAGUUGCCUAUUGCCAUUGAUGAUUGUUCCUUCUUUCUUGUGGGGAGAGUUGGAGGAAGAGAACACAGUCUGAGUGGU